AAAUCCCUGCUGUGCGCGUUGGAAAUUGGAAGAUGUUGAACCAACAUCAACUCACAGGGAGCCUGCGUUCUCUGACGCCUUGGCGCCAAAGAUAGGGCACCCACCUGUAACCUAUGCGGUUCAGACUAUCAUUCCAACGGCACAAGGCGGGGAUUUU
rnacentral:other from 1 species